AUUUGCAGGCUUGGCUAAAGUAUCUUUUUUGAGUUACUUGGAUCUGUCAUAUAAUCAAUUGUCAAGAAGAAUCCCUGAUGCUACUCAAUUAAAAGCCUUUGAUGCUUCUACAUAUUCCAUGAAUCCUGGAGGCUGCGGACCUCCUUUAUCAAGUUCUUGCCCAGGAGAUGAGACAUUGCAUGAUCCAUAUAUUCAGCUUACCACAAUGAAAGAGAUGAUGAAAAUGGUGGAGACUGGUUUGACUUGCCUUGGUUUUAUGAGGGAACUGAAGUUGGAUUUAUUAUCGGAUUUUGUGGCAUUUGUAGAAAUUUAUUGAUCAACACAUCUUGGAGACUUUCUUAUUUUAAGUUGAUGCAUGAAAUAGGAGAUUGGCUUUAUGUGAUAAUCAUCGUUAAAUGGGCUGUGUUGCGGUGAAAACUGUCUUUGCAUUAACUAGACAUGCACAACGUUCUCUCUUUGUGAAGAUAAAGAAGUGUCUUACCAAGAUUUGUUCUUUGCUUUUGGUGGCGAUGAGUGCAUGCGUCCAAGGAUUGUCCUUGCUCGAUCCUUAACUCUGUCAAAAGCUACAACUGAUCAAUGUCUCCAUGUCAUUUACGAAGUUCCAGCUUUGGUGGCUAUUGUUAUUGCUUGUAGUUUUAUUUGGUCUUUAGUAUGUGUUUUUGUUGUGUCGUUUUGGACCUCUAUUUUCAGAGCUCAUUUCUACAGAGGAAAAAAAAAGGCAAUCAGUCUCUAAUAAACUCUCUUUUUGGUUUGGGUGUAAUACAAAAUCCUACAAUUUCAACCAAUAUAUAUAAUAA